AUUGAACGCUGGCGGCAUGCCUAACACAUGCAAGUCGAACGCGAAAGUCCUUCGGGGCGAGUAGAGUGGCGGACGGGUGAGUAAUACGUGGGAAUCUACCUGGUAGUGGGGGACAACCCGGGGAAACUCGGGCUAAUACCGCAUACGUCCUACGGGACAAAGGGGGCCUCUGCUUGCAAGCUCUCGCUACCAGAUGAGCCCACGUCCGAUUAGCUAGUUGGUAGGGUAAAGGCCUACCAAGGCGACGAUCGGUAGCUGGUCUGAGAGGAUGGCCAGCCACACUGGGACUGAGACACGGCCCAGACUCCUACGGGAGGCAGCAGUGGGGAAUAUUGGACAAUGGGCGCAAGCCUGAUCCAGCAAUGCCGCGUGUGUGAAGAAGGC
rnacentral:rRNA from 1 species